ensembl:lncRNA
CGGCCAAUAGGGUUAAUUGACUGUGAAAACACCUGGAGAGAAAACAGUCAUUUAUAACAGGCGGGAUUUAGACGCGCUCAUAUUGGAUUAUAUUAAAAAAAAAACUCACGCGCAGAGUCCGCAAGGAAAAUACCCUGACGCCGCUCUGAAUAGGAUUUCUUUAUUCUUCUGCGACGACGUGUUAUUCUACGCAGGGCCUGUGGUCGACGGGCGAUGGGAGCACUUUAAUGAAGUCGCAAGCCAGCAGCGGCUCGCUGGAGAGUACGGUAGUAAAAUAAGAUCGGCAGGAUUUGACAGAGCAUCUUUGAACGAGGAGCUGAGGCCUGCCGAUCACGUCCUUUCCCUCGCUUAGCUGGGAAACGUUCCGGUCUCGCUGUUGCAGGGGUGUACCUGUCAUGUCAGAAUGAAGCGACUCUGAACCCUACACGAACUUGUCUUGUCAGAGCAGUCCUGGGUGAAGUUGCCGGGGAACGUUACCAUUGCGACUCCCCCGACACGCCCGGUUGGACGGUCUCCGUGCACGGCGUCUUUUCCAUACGCGGACAGCUGGAGCGAGUUACGGGCGGCUUGGCCGGCGGAGAGAGAGAGACGCAGAUGGCUGAGCUCUCAUGUCACCCCGUCUACUUGGCAAGAGGCGCAGGGAGAGCAAGUGGAGAGGAGAUGUAUUCUCUCACACAACAUCUAUACAGGCCCCCUACAUACACACACAAUCAUACACACACACACGUACACACACACGUACACACACGAGCAAUAUACAUGUGGAUCCGCACCCGAAAUGAACAAAGGCACAAAAGUUAGGGGCAUGAAGAUGGAAAACUCAAACAAACUUUUUUAUCCUUCAUUAAAAUGUCAGCUGUAUAGUAACGCUUCUCUGCAGAGUGAUACAGAUUGAGCCCGACAGCAAAAUAAGCUCAAAACUAUAAGCAGGCUUGCAGUACGACACGUUUGACAUUCGGUGGAUAUUUCCCACUGAAAUGGCGUCAUGUUCGCAUGUGAAUUCACAUACAUUAGUGUUUUUUUUGUUUAAUGCACAGCAGUGGCGAAUACUUAAGGGUCUUUAUUCAGAACAUAUAUCCUGGCUGGAGUCACUGCGCAGAAAUAAAGCUCAAGGACUUUCAGUAUUUGACAACAAAUCACCAAGAAAGAGAGAUUUAGCCUCUGGUUUCAACUUGGAAAACUGUGUGUGUGUGUGUGUGUGUGUGUGUGUGUGUGUGUGUGUGUGUGUGUGUGUGUGUGUGUGUGUGUGUGUGUGUGUGUGUGUGUGUGUGUGUGUGUGUGUGUGCUUGUGUGUCUGUGCGUUUGCAUUUGUGUCAGUGUUUAUGUGGUGAAAGCUCUUUACAGCAUACCAGGGUACAGGCUCAACGCGUACGCAGAAAGCCGUUCUGUUAAGAAACUGAACACAGAAACACAGGCUUCACUGGGCUGCUCUGUUCCCCCAUCCCAUCUCCCCCCCAGCUGUGUUUCCUAGCUCCACCUGGGCAACAAAUCCUUCCUCACUCCGUGUUGUCGUGACCAUCCCAGCUGCACGAUACAUGUCUGAAGACAAAGUCAUCAUCUAAAAGUUAGAUUCAAAACGGCAUAUUUUUUUUGCCUUAAUUUAUUCAUGUAUUUAUGUAACUUUUGAUUGUUACCAUCCAUGUGUCUUCUUUCACAUUGUGUGCUUUUUUUCUUGAUUUAUUCAACUUGUCUUUCGAUGUUGAUUUUAGGAUGAGUAAAUAAAAACUAUUUACUCUCGCCA